UUUUUAGUAGGAAGCGAACCCGCUGAAGUGAAACAUCUCAGUAAGCGGAGGAAAAGAUACCAAAGCUUCGCUUUCUUCCCACUAAACCGACACUAAACAAAACACUAAACUGACACGAAAAGCUUCGUUUCGGUUUCGUGUAGUCGCCGAAGGCGACAAAGUUUCGUAUUUGUUUGGUGGAGAAUUUGCGAAGCAAAUUCCCUUAGUAGCGGCGAGCGAAGAGGGAAAAGCCUAAACCAAUCUUUUAAGAUUGGGGUUGGAAGAAAAUAUCGUCUGGAGCCUUUCUUCUUAAGAGAAAGAUUCCAGAGGGAGAGCACUUAGGUAAAGUUUGGUUAGUCGAAAUUCCCUGGAAAGGGAUACCAUAGAUGGUAAUAGUCCAGUAGACGAAAAUCACUUUACGCUCCUUGAUGUUUUUCUUGAGUACCACGGGAAAUGAAAAUCCUGUGGGAAGCAGGCAGAACUACACUGCCAAGGCUAAAUACUCAACCUCACCGAUAGUGCACCAGUACCGUGAGGGAAAGGUGAAAAGUACCGGGGUAACCGGGGUGAAAUAGAACCUGAAACCAUCCGCUGACAAGAAGUUCGAGCCCGAAAGGGUGAGAGCGUACCUAUUGGAGCAGGAACCAACGAGUUUAUGUCCAUUCCACUCUUAAGUCCUUUUAGGACGAAGGUAUAGGGAAACCGAGUAUUAAAAGUGCGAAUGUGCUUUAAUAAGCAUUCUGGAGUGGGCAUAAGACCCGAAGCCGAGCGAGCUUACCAUGGCCAGGGUGAAUUCAUCUGAAAAGAUGGAGGAGGCCCGAACCCGUGGGUCGUGCAAAACCUUGGGACGAGCUGUGGUAAGAAGUGAAAAGCUAAACGAGCUCGGUAAUAGCUGGUUCUCCCCGAAAUAGCUUUGGGGCUAGCCCGGAGAAGUAAGAAGUGAAGGUAGAGCACUGGAAGGAAUAUUGUGGAGAAAUCCAGGUAUUCCUACCAAACUCCGAAUGUCAUUUCUGAAAUCUCCGGAGUCAGAACUUGGGCGCUAAGGUCCAAGCUCAAAAGGGAAACAGCCCAGAUCUUCAUCUAAGGUCCCUAAAUCUGAGCUAAGUGUUUUUUAAGGAAGUAUUCUGCCUUUAACAGGUAGGAGGUUAGCUUAGAAGUAGCUAUCCUUUAAAGAGUGUGUAACAACUCACUACUCGAUGGCAGAACGCGCCGAAGAUUCAUCGGGACUCAAGCUCAGUACCGAAGAUAAGAAUCCUAUGUCAAAUUUUGAUAUAGGAUGGUAGGGGAGCGUUCUCAGUGCGGUGAAGCCGGAAGGUGACUGACGGUGGAGCACUGAGAAGUGAGAAUGUUGGUAUGAGUAACCGCAAGGCAGGUGAAAUCCCUGCCCACCGAAAGCCCAAGGUUUCCUUGGCAACGACAAUCGUCCAAGGGUUAGGCGGACCUAAGGUAAAGCCGAAAGGCGUAGCUGAUGGAUAGCCGGUCAAUAUUCCGGCCCUUCUCUACUUGUUUUCCGAAAUGAAGAAGGGUUGGCGAAGGAGAGGAUUAUUGGAUUUCCUUCUUUGACUCUUUCUUGGGGUCAAAGGAAGUUUCAGCUUCGGCUGGAACAACUCUUUCAAAAACUCUUCCUAGAAAAGUUUUGGAGUAAAAAGUAGGGGAACCGUACCGCAAACCGACACAGGUGGGCUGGUGUCAGAGCACCAAGGUGAACGGGUGAGACCUCGUUAAGGAACUCGGCAAAAAAGCUAGGCGUAAGUUCGCGAGAUGCCUUCCCCUUUCUUUCUAAAAAAAGAAGGGGGCGCAGCGAAAGUUUCCCUGGCGACUGUUUAACUAAAACACAGGUCCCUGCUUAACUCGAAAGAGGAUGUAUAGGGGCUGAGGCCUGACCAGUACCAGAGUGUUAAGAUUGUCGGUUUCUAUUUUUAAGAUAGAAGCUGAACAAUUGAAGCCUUUGGUGAACGUCCGCGGUAACUAUAACCGUGUUAAAGUAGCGUAACCCCUUGUCGAGUAAGUUUCGGCCCGCAUGAAAGGCUUCACGACUGGGGAACUGUCUCAACGAGGCGCCCGGUGAAAAUACAAUGGAGGUGAAGAUGCCUCCAACCGGCGGUUAGACGAAAAGACCCCUGGAGCUUUACUGCAGGGUAGUAUUGGGUUUUGGAUUUCAAUGCGUAGCGUAGUGGGGAGGCUAUGAAUCUGUCAUUUCGGUGACAGAGGAGCCGUCAAUGAAACACCCAUCUUUGAAGUUCUUAAUUCUAACUUUGCUAAAAGCAAAGGACAGUGCUACUCGGGCAGUUUAAGUGGGGCACUUGCCCUCUAAAAAGUAACGAGGGCGUUCAAAGGUCGGCUUAGGCCGGAUGGAAAUCGGCCUGGACGUGCAAAGGCAAAAGCCGGCUUUACUGCGAGCAAGAUAUUGCGAGCAGUUGGGAAACCAGGACUUAGUGAACCGACCCGUUUUAGUAGAACACGGGAAGAUCAUCAGUCAAAAGCUACCCUGGGGAUAACAGGCUAGUAGGGCCCGCGAGUCCAUAUCAACGGCCCUGUUCGGCACCUCGAUGUCGGCUCGUCGCAGCGCGGGGGUGGAGAAGCUCCCAAGCGUCCGGCUGUUCGCCGGUUAAAGCGAUCCGUGAGUUGGGUUCAGAGCGUCGUGAGACAGCUCGGUCUCUAUCUACCGUCGGCGUUAGAGUCUUGAGGGGAUUUGUCCCUAGUACGAGAGGACUGGGAUGAGUCAACCUCUGGUCUACCAGUUGUUCUGCCAGGAGCAUUGCUGGGUAGCCACGUUGAUUAGGGAUAAGUGCUGAAAGCAUCUAAGCACGAAGCCCACCCCAAGACGAGGACUCUUAAAGACCCCUUGGAGACGACAAGGUUGAUAGGCUCUAGGUGUAAGUGCAGUAAUGCAUUUAGCCGAGGAGUACUAAUCGGUCGAUUUUUAUUCUU
rnacentral:rRNA from 1 species